CACGUAGGGCGCAAGCGUUGUCCGGAAUUAUUGGGCGUAAAGAGCUCGUAGGCGGUCUGUUGCGUCCGCUGUGAAAACUCGGGGCUUACCCCGAGCCUGCAGUGGAUACGGGGCAGACUAGAGGGGUAGGGGUAGGGAGAAAAUGGAAAUUUUCCCCGGGUGUAGCGGGUGAAAAUGGCGCAGAUAUCGGGAAAGAAACACCCGUGGGCGAAAGGGCGGGCUCUCUGGGACGGGUACUGACGCUGAGACGCGAAAAGCGUGGGGAGCCGAACAGGGGAAU
rnacentral:rRNA from 1 species